rnacentral:rRNA from 1 species
GACGUAGGGGGCCAGCGUUGUUCGGAAUUACUGGGUGUAAAGGGCGCGUAGGUGGCCUUCUAAGUUGAACGUGAAAUCCCUGGGCUCAACCCAGGAACUGCGUCCAAGACUGGGAGGCUUGAAUCCGGGAGAGGGAUGCGGAAUUCCAGGUGUAGCGGUGAAAUGCGUAGAUAUCUGGAGGAACACCGGUGGCGAAGGCGGCAUCCUGGACCGGUAUUGACACUGAGGCGCGAAAGCCAGGGGAGCAAACGGG